GAGAGUGUGACUCAGUGGUAGAGUAUGUGUUUAGCAUAAAUGCAGCCCUAGGUUCAAUCCCCAGUGUUCUCC
rnacentral:tRNA from 1 species